GCCUACGGGGGGCAGCAGUGAGGAAUAUUGGUCAAUGGGAGAGAUCCUGAACCAGCCAAGCCGCGUGAGGGAAGACGGCCCUAUGGGUUGUAAACCUCUUUUGUCGGAGAACAAAACCCGGGACGUGUCCCGGACUGCGUGUAUCCGAAGAAAAAGCAUCGGCUAACUCCGUGCCAGCAGCCGCGGUAAUACGGAGGAUGCGAGCGUUAUCCGGAUUUAUUGGGUUUAAAGGGUGCGUAGGCGGUCCGUUAAGUCAGCGGUAAAAUUGCGGGGCUCAACCCCGUUGAGCCGUUGAAACUGGCAGA
rnacentral:rRNA from 1 species